UACGGAGGGGGCGAGCGUUGUCCGAAGUUACUGGGCGUAAAGGGCGCGUAGGCGGGUGGACAAGUCCGCUGUGAAAGCCUGGGGCUUAACCCCAGAGGGUCGGUGGAUACUGUCCGUCUUGAAGGUGCUAGGGAGAGAUGGAAUUACCAGUGUAGCGGUGAAAUGCGUAGAUAUGCGGAGGAACACCGAUGGCGAAGGCAAUCCCCUGGGCCUGCACUGACGCUCAUGCACGAAAGCGUGGGGAGCAAACAGG
rnacentral:rRNA from 1 species